UUUAACAUUAGAGACACAUGCACACGUUAAAAAGUUGAUUAGAACAUAUGUGAAAAACUCAAGACAUUGAAAGAAGUUGACUCAUCAUCAUCAUAUGGAUGAAGCCAAUAUUUGUCAUUAGCUUCAUCUUCUUGUCCAUGCCUUAGGGAUUGACAUUAAGCAAACAUUUCCUUUUGAUGCUGUUGUUGUCUGAGAAGCAUUGCCGUAGA
rnacentral:lncRNA from 1 species